rnacentral:tRNA from 1 species
GGAGUGGUGUGAUAAUUGGUAGUCGGCAUGAUUGGAAAUCAUGUGCUCUGAAAUAUGGGUUGCAGGUUCAAGUCCUGUCCACUCCG